rnacentral:lncRNA from 1 species
AUGCAAAAGGCUUGCCUCCAGGUUACAACAACACAACCACACCACAAAACCACAAUCCAGACCCACAAAACUCACAACAACACAUCAUGCGAUAACAACACAACUAAACGUCCCAGAAAUACAAAACUUGACAACACAAAAGCCUUUUCUCCCAGUUGUAACAACACAACUACACCACAAAACCACAAUCCGGACCCACAAAACUCACAACAACGCAUCGUGACUAUAACAACACAACUAAAUGCUCCAGAAAUACAAAGCUUGGCAAAACAAUGCAAAAGCCUUGCCUCCCAGUUGUAACAACACAACCACACCACAAAACCACACUGGACCCACAAAACUCACAACAAGGCAUCAUGACUAUAACAACACAACUAAACGCCCCAGAAAUACGAAACUUGGCAACACAACGCAAAAGCAUUCCCUCCCGAUUGUAACAACACAACCACACCACAAAACCACAAUCCGGACCCACAAAACUCACAACUGUGCAUCGUGACUAUAACAACACAACUAAACGCCCCAGAAAUACAAAACUUGGCAACACAACACAAAAGCCUUGCCUCUCAGUUGUAACAACACAUCACAAAACCACAAUCCAGACCCACAAAACUCACAACAAUGCAUUGUGACUAUAACAAAUACAAAAUUUGACAACACAACUCAUCCACCUCCCCAAUCCCUACAUUCACACUUGGCCUCCAAAAAAAAACCAAUUACAAUAAUAACAAUGACAACAACAACAACAACAACAAGAAUCAACACCAUCAUAGGCAAGAAAUAGCCAGGCACUGAGGCUAAGAGGCCAGUCAGUGCUACACUGGGCCUCCAAAAAACAAUAAAGGAGCAUCUAACUUAUCCAACCUUCAUGACCACUACAACAACAAUAAUAAUAAACACCUACACAGGCGAAAAAAAAAGACUAUUGUACCACAAUUAAAAUAUAAACCGCACUCAGCAGAAUCAGACAUUACAACUAACAACAAACCAAAGACAAGAGGGAUCUCAAGCAAUUAUCAAUCAACACAAAAAUUGAAGGUAACAGACUUCAAAUACUACUACUAAUGUGAGUAUAAAGAAGGUGGAGGUCACAGCAUAAAUACAACCUAAUGUAGACUGACCAACACCACCAGACUAAGCCACAGCAACGCGUGGCCGGGCACAGCUAGUUUUAUAUAAAGAAGAAAAAAAACUGUAUCCCCUUUUUUCUUUGUGUGUUUUCUUCUCUUGCUCUCAUUCCAACUAUUCUGUAAUUGAAUUGUUCCACCACUUUCAUUGUAAAAAGAAAAGAAAAGACAGCACCUACUAUUCUUUUUUCUCUUCUUUUUCUUUAUUAUAUCUUAUAUCUUAUUCUCAAUAAAAAUGAAAUGGCAAAAAAGAAAUGGUAUUUUUGUAUCACCU